rnacentral:lncRNA from 1 species
GGUGGGUUUGUCCUUUGUUUCGGCCUGUAUAAGGCGACCAGCCGUUUCCUUGUUUUAUUGGGCCUUUUUGUAGCGUGUGUGCGUUGAUUUUGUGCUGGGCGGGUGUUCAGGCGGGCCCUUUUUUUCUUCUUUUUUUCUUUUUGUUUUUUUGUCGUUGCUUUCUGCUGCUUUCGCUCUGGAUUUUAGCCUGCUUCGCUCCCAUUUGUCUUUCCCCAUUAUUUUUUCUGUUUUCAAUUAUUUUUUGUUUUUACAUAAAUAGUACCACCUGUUUGCACAUUGAUCGAUCGCACACAAUUGCAUGUACAUUAAAUCGUGUGUAAUUACAUAUCAACUAUCGGUGUGCAAUUUUUCCUUUUCUUUUCAAGAGUAUUGUCAUCGGUCACAUCCAUCGAUCAUAGGGAGUUCCAUGUGCAUCAGCCACACACUAUUGUAUCUAUGUCAUCCGUGUGCAACUUCCUUUUUUUUCCUUUCUAAAAAUAUUUUCUUGCCGAUCAACUGGAAAUGUCGCCUCGAUUGCAAUUGCAUGUCUUCAAAGCAGCCACAACUUACUAGUGUUUUGUGGGAGAGGGAAGUUGCAUGUCUAGCACACUAGGCACGCAACUGCAAGUGUCGUCUCCGACUGCAACUGCAUGUCUUCAACGCGAUUGCAACUUAGUGUUGUUUUGUCACAGAGAGGAAAACAAUUGCAUGCCUUGUACUACACACGCAACUGCAAGUGUUGCCCUCGACUGCAAUUGCAUUGUCUUCAACGCGAUUUCAAAUUAGUGUUGUUUUGACAGAGAGAGGAAAACAAUUGCAUGCCUUGUACUACACACGCAACUGCAAGUGUUGCCCUCGAUUGCAAUUGCAUGUCUUCAACACGACUGCAACUCUAUGGUGUUUUUGUCGGGGAGGGGGUAGUUGCAUGUCUGCCACUAGGUAGACAGCUGCAAGUGAAGAUCCUGAUUGCAACUGCAUGUCUUCAACACGACUACAACGCGGUGAUGUUUUGUUGGGGGAGGAGAGCUGUUUGCAUGUGUAGGCAUGCAACUGCAAGUGUAGCCCCCGACUGCAAAUGCAUGACUUUAAUGCGUCUGCAACUGGGCGGUGUUUUGUUUGAUGGAGGGGGCUAAUUGCAUGUCUACCAGUAGUCACACAACUGCAAGUGUCGUCCCUGGCUGCAACUCAGAGAUAUUUUGGCCGAUAGUGGGGAAGCAGUGGCAUGUCUGCACUAGGCAUGCAACUGCAAGUGUCGUCCACACAACUAUGAGGUAUUCUGUUGGGUACGGGAUAGCUGCAUGUCUGCCCCUAGACACACAAUUGCAAGUGCCGCUCCCUACUGCAAUUGCAUGUCUUCAACAUGACUACAACCCAGUGAUGUUUUUGUUAGGAGGGGGGGCAGUUGCAUAUAUGCCACUAGGGUCACCGUUUCAUAUCUUUUCUUUUGUAAACGCAUGGUGAACAUUUUUUAAAAUACAUGAUGUUUUCUAGGAACAUUUUUUCCAACACACGAUGAAUAAUUUUAAGAAUAAACAAGCACUUUUUCCAAAAAAAUAUGAUAAAUGUAAACAAAAUGCUACCAUUUCUUUUUUACAGUGAGCCAAUAACUAAUUUUCAAAGGAAAUGAACAUUAAACAUUUAACAGGCAAUAGGAAAAACAGAAAAACCAAACAAAAACAGCAAAAAAUGGAUGGAAGGAAAAUCAUGCAAACUUAGUAAUUACUAAUGGCCCGGUCAUUGUGCAAGAACAAGCAGCAUCUCCAAAAACUCUCGAUAGAGUCAAAAAAUGGCUGGCUGAAAAGCACAGAGCAACCAAGAAAAUGACAAAAGGCAUUAGACGCAAUAGCAGGGCCGGCCCAACAGCGCUAGAAAAGUAGCAGACUAAAUGAUAAAUUAAAAAUGGGCUGGGCUAUUGUUGGAUGAUGUCAUCUGACUGAGACUUCGACUAAGACCUAUACAGACCCUUAAUUACUUGGUCUCCUUGAUAAUAGUAUCUCCAUCCAGCUAUCUCUCAUGUAGCCAUGCACAUGAAAGUUUUCAUAGUUUACUUAUUGUACUCUUUCCUCCAAACAUGUAUGUGUAGAGCCUUAGCUUCUUCACAAGGAUUAGUGUUAUUACUCGUUUGUUUAUCUCCUGAAAUAAAUGCACCAGUCUCUGUUUGACCCGCACGCUUUGUAUUUUGAACAACAAAAACUACCUUUUUUAUAGCUGUUCGUCAUUGUAGCUUGGCCGCACGUACUCUAAUGUAUAUGCAGCAUAUUUUUGGACAACACCAACUUCACGCGAAACAUCGACGACCCCGGUAUUUAUAUUACAUGGGGUCAUAUCACAGAGAGAAGGCCAUGCCACUCUAGAAAAGUAUAAAUGACUCCUUUAACUUGACUGCCAUCCUCAUGUGAAGUCAAUUAAAAAGAUUCCUUCCACUUUUUUCAGCCCAUGUGUAUUUUAUAUAAAUAAUAAUUCCAUGUAGACUCAAACUUAUUUAAUUCUGGAUGGGCAAACUAUUUUCAAUAGCACUGCCAAUGAUAUAAUUCACAUAUCUGAAUAGUCUGCACUAUCUUAGUUAACUGCUCCGAAUUCCGUGCAUGCGAAGAAUGGGAGAAUCCCUGACCAAACUGCGUGCAAGGGUGAACUGAUUGUUAUCUUUAGCGGAGCAUCCAGCAUCUUCACAAAUGCAAUUAGAAACAAAAACAACAUAAGAGAUAACUAAUUAGCAAUCCGACAACUAACUAGCAAUACUUUUGUUGAAUAGCCGUUGCGCGUGAGUAAACAUGGCACAAGAGGUAGAUACACCUCGUUAUUUGUGGUUUGAACCAAUCAAAUGAUUGAAGAAACUGUCGUGUCAGGAAAGACUUGCAAGCCGACCGCAACCAAUCAAUUCGUUAAGAGAGCAAGGUAGUGGCAAAUUAUAUUUUUAAAGUUCAGGAUAUUUAAUGAGUGAUUACAAAAGAUCCACAUUUGCCACAACCAGAAUCACCAAAACAUAUUAGGAUUCAAGAGGACGCGGCAUCAGGAAUUGACCAAGACUUAAUCAAAGCUUCGCAUCCUGGUUGCUCACCUACUUUGAUCGUUGCCUCAUCUUUUGGCACUUCCUCUUGAGCCUCGUCAUUCUCUUGUUCUUCCACUGCACAUUAUUUCAAACGCAAUGUACAAUAUAAUUUACAUGUAGAGUGCAAGGCAGGACACCAAAUGCAAUGUACUUUAUUUGUUGGAAACAAGAGUAUUGGGUGUCUGGAUUUAAUUCUCAUUGUGUGUGAUCAGUUUUGUUAAAUAAGGACAUGUCCUGCAAUCUAGUAUUUGGCAAAUGACAAGAUUGUAACAAAAAGGACUACUUAUAUAUGCAUUUGACAUUCAAGAAUAUGAGUUAGUAAACCAAAAAUGGAAUAGUAAAGUUAAAAGACUAGAGAAAAUUCCUUAUAUAACACUAUUUUAAAUUUUGUUUCCCUAUUUAACACUGUAAAACUAUUUCUUCCUUAUAUAACACCUUGUCUAAAUUUUAUGCCCUUUAUAACACUUCUGUCCAUUUUAAGCCUUAACAGUGUUAAAUGACACAUGAAAAGACCUAUUUGCCCCUCGUGGGCAUGUGACCAAAAAUUUCAAGUAAAAUGCAUUAUGUGGUCUCUAAAGUAGUUGACGAUGUUCAGAACUGUCCUCUAACUCAUGAACUGUCUCAAUAUGGUUCCGAAACUUACAAAUACAGUCUCAAUACGGUCGUCAAAAUUGAUGCGCCGGUCCUCCAAUAUGCAGUACGAAUUGUUAACCACCACCGAUACUAGCACUUCAUGGAAAUUGGGGCCAGAUUUUAUAUAAAAUUUCCAUCAACCAUGGCGCGUGUGCGGCGCGCGUGAGGGCUGGAACAGAUCAACAGACCAUGUUUACGUACGCAUGCAAGUUUGUGGGCAGUGCACAGCUAGAGCUAGCCCAGGCCAUGUUCACGUACAAGUACUUGUGUAGAAUCGAUCAAAGCUCUUUUUUUUCGCUAGCUUUGGGUGUAUAUAUUAUUUAUUGCUCAACAGUGGUAAGGGCAUGAGCGGCUUACGUACAUGCACUGGCGAGGCAUACGAAGAGGCGCUAACAUCAGCGGUGAACGUGAAGAUAUAGCACGUGUCCGACGUGCAAUCGGUGGUCUAAGCUAUAAUUUUCUGUCCGGUGCCGGCGGUGGUUCAUAGGUGCAGCAAGACCAACGAGGGUCGGUUGAUUUUGCUUGGGAAUUGAAUACACACAUACACAUAAAAAUUUGUCACACAUCAUCUGAGGGGCAAAUAGGUCUUUUUAGGUGUCAUGUGACAACUUUAAGGUUUAAAAUGGACAAAAGUGUUAUAAAAGGCAUAAAAUUUAGACACCGUGCUAAAUAAGGAAGCAAAAUAAAUCCAGUGUCAAAUAAGGCAAUAAAUUUUAAGAGAGUGUUAAAUAAGGAAUUCCCUCAGAAGACUAAGGGCCUGUUCUUUUGGAGCUUAUGGCUGGCUGUGGAAACAAGUUGCCCCCUCCUUACUUAUAGUUAGGCUUAUAAAAUGAAAUUUUAGGUUGAGCUUGGCAGCUUAUUUCCACACUCAGCCAUAGGCCCAAAAAAACUAGCCCUAAGCAUGUUCCCUGAGAAUUGCUUCAAUCGUCCACAUGGGUGUAAUAGAAUGGAUUAAAUCAGACUCAUCGUCAGUGAAAUAGCAGCAAAUACAGAAAAGCUGAAAAUGACAAUAACUAAACGAAUACAUUGUUGCCAUCAGUUCUUGGAGCCAUGAUGUUCAUUAGUGUUUCAUUCAAACCGACCACCAUUGUUAAUCUCAUCCAAUUCAUUCCCAUGUCUAAGAUCAAAUUACCGCAUGGAGCUUAAGCAAUAAAUCAAGUUCAGUUGUUCAACUGAGGCUUCAAUUCACUGGCAGCUACCAAUGCUGGAAGUGUCACUGGUUCAACUUUUGUUUCCCUUGUGAGGUAAAAAGAAAAUUAGGCCUCUUUUGGUUCAUAGGAUAAGAUUAUCAUAGAAAUAGGAAUUUUGUAGGAAAUGAGAUGGCAUGUAUGUCAAAUCCUAUGAGUAGGAAUAGGAAAGGAGAUGUCAUUUGGUUAACAUCAAAGGAAUUUUUCCAUUGAGUUUAGGUUCUUUUUAUUUUCCUAUAAAAUGUGGAGGGUAGGAACCAAUCCUGUGUAGCCAAAGGGCUCUAAAGGAAAAAUUCCUAUAAAAAUCCUAUCCUAUGAAAUUCCUAGAAAAUUCCUGCAAACCAAAGGAGGCCUUAAUGAACCUGCAAAUAUCUUUAGUGUUCCUGGUAUUCGUUCAUCUAGGAGCAAAGAAAAGGAGCUGUCACACCGCAAAAAGAUAAAAUAACUGACACAACAAAUGCAGGGCCAAAAGGCACAAUUCGGAGUACCUCAAGGAUAAUAGGUGCAUAAAAUUCAGUCACAAACACAUAUAAUCCUCACAUUACAUAAAACUCAGUCCUGGAACAUAGCCAGACUAGUAUUAAACAGCUAAAUUUGACCAAACACAGGUAAGGCAACUUCCACAGCCACAACCGCAUAACAAAUCAGGAAUCACUGGGACAAUGCCAUCAUCCCUCAGAGUUUCGCUGCCUGGAUGUCAGAUGAUGCUUCCCCUCCCUCCAAGGCGCCUACUUGGAUCGCUGCCUCAUCUUUCGGCGCUUCCUCUUGAGCCUCCUCAUCCUCUUCUUCUUCCACUGCACAUUAAGACGAAAUGCAGAUCAUCAGUACAAAUUGCAUAGUGCUAGAUGCGCAGGAACAUGAGAUAAUUCCACAUGAAACGAGAAAGUAGUAUGUACUUCAGAAUCAGAAGAUUGAGUGUUUCAUUGGAUAUCAUCACGUGAUUUUCAGAAACACGGACCAAUUGUCCUUCAUCAUUUCCCAAACUGCCAAUUUGGCAUUGCAAAAAGAGAACUAUUCUAAGAAGGUCGUAGCUAUCUACAAACAGGUUAGGCAAAGCAAAGUAGAUCUGCAGUCAGUUUGACAUUCAGAAUGAGUAGGAGGAUUUUAUCAUCAAAUAGAUCAGACGCCAAUUGUCUUCCUCAUCAUGCCAACCGACGCAAUUAUACAAAAUAAAAACAGUGGAAAAUGAGCUAAAGAAAUGGAUAAGCAAACGUUGUUCUCUCAGACAAAUGCCUCGAUUGUCCACACGGUGUAAUAGAAUGGAUUACAUCAGACUCGUCAUCUGUUUUCAUCAUCACAGAGAACAAUGGACAAACGAAAACAGCAAAAAAAAAACAUAAAUCUGGCUAACAUAACUAGAGGCAGUAAUUAGAUCUCAUAGAGCAAGCAAAUCUGGUCGAAAUAGCAGCGGUUCUCUCAGACAAAUUUGCCUCACUUUUGUCCCCACGGUUGAAUGGAAUGGAUUGGAUCGGACAUCUAAUCAGUGUUGAUCAUCACAGAGAACCACUAAUUACGCAAGCGAGCGGUAGCAACGGCGAGAACAAACCCUCGCUAAACACUAGCACAUGUCCAGAUCUACCUCGGUCGCGGAGCAGCUAACAACAGGGAAGGGAGAUGACGGGCAGUACGAACCUUGGCCCUCAUCGCGGCGGCGGAGUCGGUCUCGCUCUCCUGUUCGCGGCGGCGGCGGCGGCGGCGGUGUGUGGACGAACUUAGAUUGUUGACGGCGGGGGCUCUCGCCUCGUACUUAUACGGGCUGGGUGCUGAAGGGGGGGGGAAACCCUAGCGGGGUUGGACGGGUGGACGGCUCGGAUCAGCCAGUGAACGGCGUUCUGAUCCGAUUAGUAAUCUGGUUUGUGGGCCUGUUGGGCCUCCAAACAACGCCUAGGCCCACGCUAACAUUUGACUGGACUUGAUUUCCUGAAGGGGGGAAAAAGAAACUUGACCAGUCUUUACUUUUAUUCUCUUUAUUUUAUAUUACUUUAAAAAGAGUAGUGUUCCUUUUUCUGCCAGACGGAGUGAUUCGUCCAACAUUUUUUUAUAAUCACUAGCAAAAGGCCCGUGUGUUACAACGGGCCAUUGAUAUUUUAGUAUUUCAACACUGAUUGUGCACAUCAAACUGAAAUAUCUCCUUCUAUUGUUAAUUGCUAGUGAAAUAAUCGAGAGGAGAUAAUAUGCCUGAAUAGUGAAGUUGUGAGCAUAGCUUAUUUCUCCUUCUCCUUGACUCAUAUGCAUCAUUUGCUUGGGGGGCAAGCUUGUAGCAGAGUUAAACCCAAAAAAAAGUUGAAUACAAAUCAAGGGAUAUAGCAGCAUUCAACUAAAUUAGUAGUGGAGUAGAGAAGCCCUGGAGCAUAUAAAGUAAAUGAUACCUCUGACAAAGCAGGUUUAAGAAGUGGAUAGUAAGUUUGAAAACAUGAACAAUGCAUAGCAAGCUUUCGUACAUACAAAUUCCCUUGUAUUGAUGAAAACAUAAAUUCACCUAUAAAAAACUAACAAAUUUAGUUUGUAUAUAUACUCUUAGUACACAGUCGAGUCAACACAAACAAUUUGCCUAUGAAAGGAUCAAGUUGGAAUUCCAUUGCUCGAUGGGUGGACGGCUCGGAUCAGCCAGUGGACGGUGUUCUGAUCCGAUUAGUAAUCUGGUUUGUGGGCAUGUUGGGCCUCCAAACAACGCCUAGGCCCAUGCUAACAUUUGACUGGACUUGAUUUCCUGAAGGGGGAAAAAGAAACUUGACCAGUCUUUACUUUUAUUCUCUUUAUUUUAUUACUUAAAAAAGGGAAACGUUUCCUGCGGCGUGCCGGCGGAACGCUUGGCCAGUCGCGUACGCUUCGUUCGAUCGAAAGCGAUCAUGCGGCCCACGUGUGGCCUCACCCCCUCGGCCCCACAUGCUCCCUCUUCCUUAUCCCCAUAUGUUUUCUUUUCCUUAUCCCCUCAAGCACCACUCAUUUUUCUUGCUUAUCCCUCCAUGCCCACCAUUCAUCCCAUGCACCUCUCUCUCCCCCUGGCCUACCUUCAAUCAAUAGCUUGCCGGCGAUGGAAGACGUGUGUGGCGAGCUGGCAGUCCGGGGCUGCACACAUGAAGCCGCGGAGGUGCGUGAGCACGACUCUCGGCGAGCGAAGAGGCGCGACGCCAAAGCUACAUCGGCAACUUGGUAUUUCCACUUUGCAACCUGAUACGACGAGUGGAGGGUGGUUUGCUGCAACCAGUGGCCCCUACUACUACGACCAACGAGGUGGCUGUGCCGUGAAGAUGGACGACGGAUGCGGCGAUUUUUGUGCUGAAACCCACGAUAGCCUCUGCUACAACCGGCCAGCCAUUUUGCUGGAACCAGCAUCGGUAAUUGCUGCCAUCAGUCACGCGAUAUGCUGGAACCAAACGCGCACUCGUCGCCGGCGUUUUUUUUCUUUUGCUAGAGUUGGGUGUUUGAUUUUGCUGGAAGUAGCUAUCCUUUUUGCUACAAAUCGACCACACGAGUUCUCCCUGUUUUGUUGUUUCUGCUGUAUCCAAUGUCUUGUUUUGCUGGAAACAACCAUCUUUUUUGGUACAAAUCGACAACAGGAAUUCUACGUGUUUAGUUGUUUUUCUGCUGCAUCCGAUGUUUCGUUUUGCUGGAACCUAGUAUUUUUUUAUUCAACCGAUCAAUGAAGGAUUGUUGCUUUCAGAUCUUUUUGCUAGAUACUUCAGUGCAAACCGACGCCCACGGCGAGCCGAAACCAGAGCAUGGUGAUGAGCUGGAACCGGCGAGCUUGCUUUGCUGCAAUGAGCCGCAAGCUACUAUGAUCAGCAGGGCGAAGAGCUGGAACGGGCGUCCAUUUUUGCUGGGAUGGGCGCCCAAAUUUGCUGGAACAGGAGUCCCGGGUUGCUGCAUCGUUCGCCGCACAGGGGAGCUACGAUGUUGGCGAGCUGGAACCGGCGCCCAAUUUUGCUGGAGCCGGCAUCUCGACAUGCUGGAACCGUGUGAAGGCAGGCGGCGGCUGAAUGGCUGAUUCGACGCUGAUGGUGUUUUGCUGCGACCAGUGAUGGAAAAGCUUCAACCAUCGGGCGAGUUGUCGAUGGCGUGAGGGGUGACGCCGGGGUGCUGCGGCCGACAACACGGUCGGUGCUGCGCGUUCUACUACAACGAGGAGUCGACCACUAGUUGUUGCAUCCGGCCACGUUGACGCUGCCACCAGCUACAACGAGAAGAUGCCAUGGCGAGCUUCGCCGCCGACGGCCGGCAGCGAAGGUACUCGUGCGGGACGGUGAGCAGAAUUGCGCGCGGCUGCGGCCGCCCGCAAGGGAGAGCCGAUCUGGGCCUUCGUAGACUCUCGUGACAAACGAAACAGCAAGGAGGGACCGGCAGAUGGAGCGGUUAAGGUCACUUCAAUCGAGCGUUGCAUGAGGAACCGGCCGAAAUUUUGGGCCGGUCCGCCGGCGCCUAGUGCUGGCCCUUAAAAAAAAGUAGCGUUCCUUUUUCUGCCAGACGGAGUGAUUUGUCCAACAUGUUUUUCUUGGGAACCGCCUUAAUCAUCUCAUCUUUUUGGUUCAAAAAAAUCGUCUCAUCUUUUAUUGACUUAUCAAAUAAAUUAUAUUUUCUUUCAUAAGUCAAAAUAAGUGAUUACAAAAUAAAAUCAUGGGUAAGAUUUGUUAAGUAUUUUUUUACACAAUCACAUAACAUAAAGAUGUAAAUUAUGGGAUAAUGUAUUGUAAUAUAAUAUAUAAUAUUUAUGCCCCAUAGCGACACGGGCAAAUAUCUAGUUCUGCUAGCAAAAAGACUAAUUACAAAACAAUAAAACUGAGCUAGCUACACGCCACCACAGCGAUUCACCGCUUUUGGCCGUCCGAUCAUUUGUUAGACGCCCCAGAUCUUCCAAUUGUCCACUGGCGGUCGCUUGGUCAUUUUCACCGUGCCUCACCCAAUGUAAAAGGGCUGCUGCUCCGGAAAGCAACCUGUGGGUCAUGUAGUUAAUUGGGCCCAGAAGCAGCCCAAUUGGUUGUGUACGUCAGCCCAUGCUAGGUUUCCUUUCCACAUCGACAGAGAAAAGAAAAGAACAAUUCAUCCUUCUCCUCUUGUUCAUACCCACGGUGCAGGGUGUCUAAUUUCUCAUGUUCCUUUCGUGCUAGGAAGCUCGUGGGGAUUGACCAACUGUCAGUUUGUUGGAGUUUGAUCUGUCCCGAUGGGCGACAAACAUAUAGCUGACUGAAGGCACGAGUAUGGCCUAUGGACUAAAGGAUUUGUUCCUUUCCCUCGGUGGCAACAUCCUAUAUGGCAGUACCUUUUCGCCUCCUUUUACCAGCCGUAUAAUUCAGUGAGUCGUUAGUAACUGUUUUGAUUGGUUGUUAGUAUUCCGGCACUGCCUUAUAUAUGGAUAUUCAUUGUUGAUAUGUGUUACAUGGUGUGAUCCCGAUCGACUCCAAUAUGGACACCCAGGCACCACACCCAGGCUCAUGCAAAUGCUCAAAACAGCCCGGUAACGCCACCACUUGUUGAUCAAAACGUUGUCCUUCUGAGUACUGAUUAGGAUUACAUGCAACCUUCUUGCUGGAAAUACGCUUCUGAAAAAAGAUGCUAAGCUGGCCUGAUAAGAUUGGCAUUAGGCUUUUGCCGUAGGAUCCUGGAACUCUGAAUUCUAGGAACAGCACCUACCAGGUUACCUGAUGUAAUCCGUAUCCUUGCAUGAGGUUUGGAGUACGUGGUUUUUCAAUUUUUGUUGGACAGUUUUAGUCGAGUUAGGUGUGUUCAAGGAUUAGCUUUGGUUUUCCCAUUUUACUCGCUAAGAAAGGUAACUGAAAUUUUGUUUCUGCUCAAUUUCAUUAGGUUGCAAGAAAAUGACUGGUUGAAAUUGCUUUCCUAAACAAAGUAAUAGAUGUACAAUAUUGAUCAACAAAUGGGCAACAAGUCAACAACGACCCAGUAGAAAUUUUAUUGUGCUGAAUAGGGCCAAGUAUAUUAUCAAACCAUUGUUGGUAAGAGGAUAAUUUACUAUGAUUCAGUUGGCAAAGAGGCUCUGAUCUGCAGUUUAAAUGACGAAGAAAUACUGGAACAUGGGGAAGAGAAGCAUGUUUCACAAAAGAAGAAGAUCCGCUAAUAUGGUAAUAAUACAUCCUAGUUAAAUAGAUUGGUUUUUCUGUAUUACGUGCUCUUCUGUCGUGAACUGCAAUUGAUUACCACAACAUGCUAUGUUUUCAUCCGUUCAAGUCUGAAGAAUGGGUACUAUCUAUCAGUCUAUAUGUUUGAAUUUUUUUUCUAAUAUCUCUACUCCUAAUGAAGCAGUUGGUAGCCUGGUACUCCGGUUUUAUUUUCGUCCGGUUUUAUUUCGUCCCACCUCCCACCACUCCGUACUACUGGUUUUUUAUCUAUCUACAAAUCUCCCCUCCCACUGGUUUAAGCCGGUUAUCAAUUUUUGGUAAUGCAAUAAAAGUCAUACGGGAAUAAAUCAUAUCACGGUCGGCAGUUAAUCUCAAACCUGCCAAGAGAUUUGGUAACAGAAUAAAUUCAAAAGGAAGGGUGGGGGAAUGUUCCUAUACAUAAGGAUGGUAAUCUCCAUCGCAUACCAUUUACUCCAGAAUCAAUCGCAUUAAUAAUCUCCAUCGCAUAAAUAAUUACUCCAAAAUCAAUCACAAUCAUAAUCUACAUCGCAUAAUUAACUUCUUCCUAUGACCACCUCGCUCCACCAAUCCCACCUGCCGUUUUCUACCAUCACGAUCGAUUUUCUCGCGUCCUCUCCUACACGCACAAAAAUAUAGGCCCAGCCUCGACCGUGGGCUGGGACUCAUCCGUCGCGCACCGCCUGCUCUGCAACGACGCCCAACGCAACCUCUUCUUUGAUGCCCCCGCGCACCCCUCGCCGCCGCCACCAACGCCCUGCGCGUUCGCCUCUACGGCCUUGAUGAUUGCACCCGCUUUCGUGACGUCCUCGCGCUCAAGCGCCGCCGGCGCAUCCACGCCUGCGUCAGCCAUGCCGAGGAGGUUGAGGAGCCCCUCGAGCCGGCCCUUGCCCUCGCCUGCGUCAACGACCCCGCCCAUCUUGGCGGGGGCGAUUCCCCCAUCGCCCGACUCAUCUCCGACGAGUAUGGCAUCGGUGGGUACGCCGCGUCGUUCGUAUGCUUGGCAGGUUCCAGAACACCCCGCGACGUGUAUGAGGCUGCUAAGCUUGACCAUGGCGAGGGGCUCGUGCUCGAGCUCGACGAGACGCAAUUCGAUCUCGGAACCAACUACGAGCUGGAUGGUGAGACUGCAGAGCAGGCAGGGGGCGCGACGAAGAUGGAAGUGGCGGCAGUUCAAGCUUGUCGCUGCCGAAGACCCUAGAGAGGUGCGUGAAGAGACCUGGUUAGUUUUGUUGGGCCCCACUGGUAGAUGCUCCAUGUCUCCUCCUCUGGUUCCUUGUGCAUUAUUGGGUUGUCUUAAUUUUCAGUCAGGAACACGUAGCCGUGAAUUUUUUUGAUUAAUAUUGAUGUCAUCGUUACAUAUUGGUACCGGGUAGAUUUGAUGUAUUAUUGUUAAGCUCUCAAGACCAGGCCUGGUUUUACAGAUGUUUAGCGCACCGGUUCCUGUUCAUUUACAACACAGCCAUGCGAUCUAUUAAGUGAUGUUUCUCUGAAUUUAUGACAGGUAAACUGCGGUAAUAACAAAUCAGAUGUCAUCUCUCAUCUUGCCGAUUCAACCUUGGAAGAUAUGGUAGAGACGAGAGGCGGUUUGGUCCAUCUGGUGGAAGGGGGAGUGGAGAUAGUAGGAGUGGAAAGCAACUCAGUCCAUCCUGGCGGAAGGGAUAUAUAUAGGCUGACAUGUCAUCGGUGCUGGGCACCACAGGCAAGUGCUGUUUAGUUGAGUCCCAAUCACGAAUUAGAAAAAAAUUCUUUGGGUUCUUGGAUAGAUGCUUAUGGUUUGUUGCGUCAUUUUUCAGGUUCAAUAUGCUGGCUGGCGCCGAGCCUCACUACUGAGUUGAAGAACUACUUGCAACGGUUGCCAAAAGUUGUGUUAAAAAAAUAGGCCCACCUUCAUAAGGAUGAUGUAAAUUGCAGCCAUACUCAGGUUUAUUCUUUGUUCCCUGCAUAUUUUUAUUUAACCACGUUAUGUUUUAGCCACUAGAUGGAAAAUAGAAAAAGGAAACGGAGAGAAUCACUUAUUUUCGUGAUAUGAUAUUUAUUUAAUAGUGAUUGCUAUUUGUUUUGAAUAUUUAAGCAUAAGGAUACCACAAUUAAAUUAUGGUUACAACACGAAAGUUGUAGAGUAGUUAAUCUCUAUCUCUACUCCUAAAGGGGGAGUUGGUAGCCCGGUGCGCAGGUUUAUUUUCGCCUCACCGAUUUAUUCUCCCUCACCUCCCAGCAUCCCCUCCACGCUGGGUUUUCUCCGUCCGACUAAAAACCAAAUCAAUUUGCAUGAUCCUCCUUGUUUGUUUUUCGGCUAAUGUCCUCCUAUCCUAGAGCAUGUUCAUCUGACUAAUCUUCUUAGUUAAUGCCCUCCUUGCCUGGAUCAUGUUCAUCCGAUUGACAAAGGCUUGGCCAUCUUGUAAUAGUAGAUGGUGAAGUGGAUAUAUAUACUACUCCCUCCGUCCGAAAAUACUUGUCAUCAAAAUGAAUAUAAAGGGAUGUAUCUAGAACUAAAAUAUGUUUAGAUACAUCUCUUUUUAUCCAUUUUGAUAACAAGUAUUUCCGGACAGAGGGAGUGCUUCAGUUUGCAUGAGAACAACCGCUUAUAUGUGUGCCUCAAUAGUAAAGUAGGAUUGCUUGGAUUAUUUUCUGUAGUAUUUUUUCCAGUUUUAAAUGUUUAGUUUCUUAACUUAUUAUGAGGCUUGCAUCGAUCAAAGAAAUCAUGCUCCCUUGGCUUAAUCAAAUGUACUUAUGUUUGCUAAUUUAUUUUUAGUGUGUGUUUCCUCCUACUAUCUUAUUAUUCUAUAGCUAACUAUAUUUUGGAAUCUGGUGGGUGCAAAGAAAAUGGCAGUUUCUAGAUUUCUGUAGUAUUUCUGGGUAACAACAGGUUCCAAAGUGACGGGCAUUGCUAAAUCAGAUAACAUACUAUUCAAAAAGAGAACACAUUCAUCCCUUCAUUUUAGAGAUUCAAUAAAGCAAGCAAAACUUGGAAUCCAAGUCAGAAUACCAACUAUUGUACUACUGAAUGCACAUUUAUUUGCCGACAUGAAACUAUCUAUCACAUGUAGGUGUGUUUGCUCCUCGGAGCAUAGCAAAAUGAUAUGCUCUUACAUAAACAUUAUCUUGCUUACAGUGUUAAUUCAAAGCCUUAAUUCAAGGUCGGAUCUUGCUUACAAUGUCAAUAUAAUCGCUUUUAAUCUCUUUCAAGAUUAAUAAACUGCACAUGCAUGGCACGCAAAUAGGACAAACUUGACUAGAUCUACACAUAUAUUUUUAUCACUUCUAAUAUCUCAUCGACUGUUUACAUGCCAUAUUGCAUACCAAGAAUACAAGAGUGCUGACUUUAUUUUAUUUUAUUUUAUUUUAUUUUAUUUUAUUUCUGAAAUAGUUCCCAAUUAGGCUUACAAUUAUUUUAUAUUAGUGUUACUUCCUUUGUCAAGCUUAUGAAGAAUGUAUUUCCUUGAACAGUAUUUCAUCCAUUUGGAUUUAGGUGACAUGUGUGGUGGCACGAGAAAAUGGAAGGCCCUAAGCUGAAGGAGAGCAUCAAUUGACAUGAGUGAUAAGCAAUAUCUAUUAGAAACACAUACUAUCAGGCUAAUGCAAACCACUUGGGUAUGAAGUAUACUUACCACAACUUUCUAGGUGUUGAUCAACUUGUGUUUUCUUGUUAGUAAAAGAAACAUGUUGUUUUUUUGUGGUUCAUGGAUUCAUGCUCAAUGUUGAAUUAUUAUCUGAUCUGCAGAAGCAUGUCUUACUGCUGCUCAAGGUCACAUGAUUUAUAAUUUAUAACUACAAUUAUUUAAAUCAGUAUCUUGCACGAAGUCCUGACAUCUGGCUUUAUCAAAGAUUCCACUAUGUUUAUUUCUCCAUCAUAUCGCACAAUGAAUAAUAACAGUAGAUAGAUAUCCCCUUUUUAUGCAAUGAAUUUCAUGAAAUAAAACAGCGUCCAUCACCGUCUCUGAUGUAAUCUUAAGUGCACAUGCAUGGCUUAAUGUCACUGCUAUCUCGUAGUUUCACAUGCUAUUCAAGUUUACGGCAUACAGUACUUAACAUAUAAGUUGUGUCAUAGUAUUAGUGUCAUCUUUGGCUGCUUCCUUUCUUGAAUUUUCCGAUGACAGUGUACAUGCCUUAACAUAUUCGAAGUUGUUGAUUUUUUUGUUGCAAAUAUAAUAUUUAGUAAUUUAACGUGAGCCCUUGCAGGUCCAAUUAAAGCUAUUUGACCAGAAGCUAGGUGAUAUGUGCUCAAAAGAAUCUACCCUGUUAUGCACCAGUUUUUUGCCUUAACAUUGUUUCUGCAAUUACACUAUAUAUCUUGUAUUAACUGGAUUUUUAAGAUGACGAUUAAGGAAUUCAUCUACAAUUAGGAACUUACUUCGCGACAAGGAAGGUCCAGUGGUUGGGCAACAACAUGUGGAAGGAUAAUUACUGGAUACAUUUUUUUAGCGAACAACAGCGGAGCGAUUUGAUGUCUCAAAACAUGUAAGCUGACUUGCCCUCCAUGGAAUGGAAUGACUACAAAAACUUUUGUCAUUUCAUCUAAGAAUAUUUUAAAUUAGUUAAUAAAUCAUACAGACUUGAUAUUUUCUUGGUCUCAUGCAACUAUGUGUGGUUUCUUACUUUACUCCACAAUCAUCUGUGGCAAUUAUGAGGUAUUUUUCGCCAUUCGUAUUUAUUCCUUAAUUUUACUAUGAAUAUAUGAGAGUACACACCAAGGGGUUCGCAAAAAGUACAAAAAAACUAGGAGACAAGCACGAGUCACCUUAUGAGGUGAUGAUGUAGGAGACACAAUGAGGUGAAAGAGACGUGAUGGACAUAGAAGAGUAAACCCACGAGGAUAAAGAGAUGUCAUGCACAUAGAAGGAGGAAGCGAGGACCUCGAUCCACAUUAUCAAAGACAUAGAUAAGAACAAGAGUAUCACACUUCCCACAUCGACCAACUAAUGACACAUGUUGCUAUUGGGGCAUAUCACCCUCCCUUGCAUUAUACAUAUUAAUAUUAAGAUGAAACACUUCGUUGAAUGCAUUUCUAUUAUAUUGUUCUAUGGCAACACCCGAGCAUUCUGCUAGAAAGGAUGCUCGGGUGUAGACAGAAUCAUAUAUUAUAUCAUUAUUAGUAUCAACAUGUUUCUAAAUGUUUUCAUACUCAGUAUAUGAUGUUAGAUUCAACAUGAGAUCUAAAGUUUUGUGUGAAGCCAAAUAUGCAGGUGUUAGCAAUACUGUUUGAUAGCUUGGGGGUACGAUGUGGCAAACGCGCAACGGCUGGCUAGCUGUGUUGGAGAGCAAGAGAUGUCCAGCGAGAAACAUCCCACUACAUGUUGGGGAAUGUAGUAAUUUCAAAAAAUUUCCUACGCACACGCAAGAUCAUGGUGAUGCAUAGCAACGAGAAGGGAGAGUGUUGUCUACGUACCCACGCAGACCGACUGCGGAAGCAUUGACACAACAUAGAGGAAGUAGUCGUACGUCUUCCCGAUCCGACCGAUCCAAGCACCGUUACUCCGGCACCUCCGAGUUCUUAGCACACGUACAGCUCGAUGACGAUCCCCGGGCUCCGAUCCAGCAAAGCGUCGGGGAAGAGUUCCGUCAGCACGACGGCGUGGUGAUGAUCUUGAUGUUCUACCGACGCAGGGCUUCGCCUAAGCACUACAACGAUAUGAUCGAGGUGGAAUAUGGUGGCAGGGGGCACCGCACACGGCUAAGAAAUGAUCUCAAGGAUCAACUUGUGUGUCUAGAGGUGCCCCCCUGCCCCUGUAUAUAAAGGAGCCAAGGAGGAGGGGCUGGCUGGCCAAGGAGGGUGCGCCAGGAGAGUCCUACUCCCUCUGGGAAUAGGAUUCCCCCCCAAUCCUAGUUGGAAUAGGAUUCCUUAAGGGGGGGAAAGGAGAGGGGGGGCCGGCCACCUCUUCUAGUCCUAAUAGGACUAGGGGAGGGGGGAGGCGCGCGGCCACCUUGGGCUGCCCCUUUCUUCUUUCCACUAAAGCCCAUUAAGGCCCAUAUAGCUCCCGGGGGGUUCCGGUAACCUCCCGGUACUCCGGUAAAAUCCUGAUUUCACCCGGAACACUUCCGAUAUCCAAACAUAGGCUUUCAAUAUAUCAAUCUUUAUGUCUCGACCAUUUCAAGACUCCUCGUCAUGUCCGUGAUCACAUUCGGGACUCCGAACUAACUUCGGUACAUCAAAAUGCAUAAACUCAUAAUAACUGUCAUCGUAACGUUAAGCGUGCGGACCCUACAGUUCGAGAAUAAUGUAGACAUGACUGAGACACAUCUCCAGUCAAUAACCAAUAGCGGGACCUGGAUGCCCAUAUUGGCUCCUACAUAUUCUACGAAGAUCUUUAUCGGUCAGACCGCAUAACAACAUACGUUGUUCCCUUUGUCAUCGAUAUGUUACUUGCCCGAGAUUCGAUCGUCGGUAUCCAAUACCUAGUUCAAUCUCGUUACCGGCAAGUCCCUUUACUCGUUCUGUAAUACAUCAUCCCGCAACUAACUCAUUAGUUGCAAUGCUUGCAAGGCUUAUGUGAUGUGCAUUACCGAGAGGGCCCAGAGAUACCUCUCCGACAAUCGGAGUGACAAAUCCUAAUCUCGAAAUACGCCAACCCAACAUCUACCUUUGGAGACACCUGUAGAGCUCCUUUAUAAUCACCCAUUUACGUUGUGACGUUUGGUAGCACAGAAAGUAUUCCUCCGGCAAACGGGAGUUGCAUAAUCUCAUAGUCAUAGGAACAUGUAUAAGUCAUGAAGAAAGCAAUAGCAACAUACUAAACGAUCGGGUGCUAAGCUAAUGGAAUGGGUCAUGUCAAUCAGAUCAUUCAACUAAUGAUGUGACCUCGUUAAUCAAAUAACAACUCUUUGUUCAUGGUUAGCAAACAUAACCAUCUUUGAUUAACGAGCUAGUCAAGUAGAGGCAUACUAGUGACACUCUGUUUGUCUAUGUAUUCACACAUGUAUUAUGUUUUCGGUUAAUACAAUUCUAGCAUGAAUAAUAAACAUUUAUCAUGAUAUAAGGAAAUAAAUAAUAACUUUAUUAUUGCCUCUAGGGCAUAUUUCCGUCAGUCUCCCACUUGCACUAGAGUCAAUAAUCUAGAUUACACUGUAAUGAUUCUAACACCCAUGGAGUCUUGGUGUUGAUCAUGUUUUGCUCGUGGAAGAGGCUUAGUCAACGAGUCUGCAACAUUCAGAUCUGUAUGUAUCUUGCAAAUCUCUAUGUCUCCCACCUGGACUAGAUUCCGGAUGGAAUUGAAGCGUCUCUUGAUGUGCUUGGUCCUUUUGUGAAAUCUGGAUUCCUUUGCCAAGGCAAUUGCACCAGUAUUGUCACAAAAGAUUUUCAUUGGACCCGAUGCACUAGGUAUGACACCUAGAUCGGAUAUGAACUCCUUCAUCCAGACUCCUUCGUUCGCUGCUUCCGAAGCAGCUAUGUACUCCGCUUCACAUGUAGAUCCCGCUAUGACGCUUUGUUUAGAACUGCACCAACUGACAGCUCCACCGUUUAAUGUAAACACGUAUCCGGUUUGCGAUUUAGAAUCGUCCGGAUUAGUGUCAAAGCUUGCAUCAACGUAACCUUUUACGGUGAGCUCUUUGUCACCUCCAUAUACGAUAAACAUAUCCUUAGUCCUUUUCAGGUAUUUCAGGAUGUUCUUGACCGCUGUCCAGUGAUCCACUCCUAGAUUACUUUGAUACCUUCCUCCUAGACUUAUAGCAAGGCACACAUCAGGUCUGGUACACAGCAUUGCAUACAUGAUAGAGCCUAUGGCUGAAGCAUAGGGAACAUCUUUCAUUUUCUCUCUAUCUUCUGCAGUGGUCGGGCAUUGAGUCUGACUCAACUUCACACCUUGUAACAUAGGCAAGAACCCUUUCUUUGCUUGAUCCAUUUUGAACUUCUUCAAAAUCUUGUCAAGGUAUGUGCUUUGUGAAAGUCCAAUUAAGCGUCUUGAUCUAUCUUUAUAGAUCUUUAUGCCUAAUAUGUAAGCAGCUUCACCGAGGUCUUUCAUUGAAAAACUCUUAUUCAAGUAUCCCUUUAUGCUAUCCAGAAAUUCUAUAUCAUUUCCAAUCAGUAAUAUGUCAUCCACAUAUAAUAUCAGAAAUGCUACAGAGCUCCCACCCACUUUCUUGUAAAUACAGGCUUCUCCGAAAGUCUGUAUAAAACCAAAUGCUUUGAUCACACUAUCAAAGCGUUUAUUCCAACUCCGAGAGGCUUGCACCAGUCCAUAAAUGGAUCGCUGGAGCUUGCACACUUUGUUAGCUCCUUUUGGAUUGACAAAACCUUCCAGUUGCAUCAUAUACAACUCUUCUUCCAGAAAUCCAUUCAGGAAUGCAGUUUUGACAUCCAUCUGCCAAAUUUCAUAAUCAUAAAAUGCGGCAAUUGCUAACAUGAUUCGGACAGACUUAAGCAUCGCUACGGGUGAGAAGGUCUCAUCGUAGUCAACCCCUUGAACUUGUCGAAAACCUUUUGCGACAAGUCGAGCUUUGUAGACAGUAACAUUACCAUCAGCGUCAGUCUUCUUCUUGAAGAUCCAUUUAUUCCCAAUUGCUUGCCGAUCAUCGGGCAAGUCAACCAAAGUCCAUACUUUAUUCUCAUACAUGGAUCCCAUCUCAGAUUUCAUGGCUUCAAGCCACUUUGCGGAAUCUGGGCUUACCAUCGCUUCUUCAUAGUUUGUAGGUUCAUCAUGAUCUAGCAGCAUGAUUUCCAGAACAGGAUUACCGUACCACUCUGGUGCGGAUCUCGCUCUGGUUUAUCUACGAGGUUCAGUAGUAUCUUGUCCUGAAGUUUCAUGAUCAUCAUCAUUAGCUUCCUCACUAAUUGGUAUAGGUGUCGCAGAAACAGUUUUCUGUGAUGUACUACUUUCCAAUAAGGGAGCAGGUACAGUUACCUCGUCAAGUUCUACUUUCCUCCCACUCACUUCUUUCGAGAGAAACUCUUUCUAUAGAAAGGAUCCAUUCUUAGCAACGAAUAUCUUGCCUUCGGAUCUGUGAUAGAAGGUGUACCCAACAGUCUCCUUUGGGUAUCCUAUGAAGACACAUUUCUCCAAUUUGGGUUCGAGCUUAUCAGGUUGAAGCUUUUUCACAUAAGCAUCGCAGCCCCAAACUUUAAGAAACGACAACUUUGGUUUCUUGCCAAACCACAGUUCAUAAGGCGUCGUCUCAACGGAUUUUGAUGGUGCCCUAUUUAACGUGAAUGCGGCCGUCUCUAAAGCAUAACCCCAAAACGAUAGUGGUAAAUCAGUAAGAGACAUCAUAGAUCGCACCAUAUCUAGUAAAGUACGAUUACGACGUUCGGACACACCAUUACGCUGUGGUGUUCCGGGUGGCAUGAGUUGCGAAACUAUUCCACAAUUUUUCAAAUGUACACCAAACUCGUAACUCAAAUAUUCUCCUCCACGAUCAGAUCGUAGAAACUUUAUUUUCUUGUUACGAUGAUUUUCAACUUCACUCUGAAAUUCUUUGAACUUUUCAAAUGUUUCAGACUUGUGUUUCAUCAAGUAGAUAUACCCAUAUCUGCUUAAAUCAUCUGUGAAGGUGAGAAAAUAACGAUAUCCGCCACGAGCCUCAAUAUUCAUCGGACCACAUACAUCGGUAUGUAUGAUUUCCAACAAAUCUGUUGCUCUCUCCAUAGUACCGGAGAACGGUGUUUUAGUCAUCUUGCCUAUGAGGCAUGGUUCGCAAGUACCAAGUGAUUCAUAAUCAAGUGGUUCCAAAAGUCCAUCAGUAUGGAGUUUCUUCAUGCGCUUUAUACCGAUAUGACCUAAAACGGCAGUGCCACAAAUAAGUUGCACUAUCAUUAUCAACUCUGCAUCUUUUGGCUUCAACAUUAUGAAUAUGUGUGUUACUACUAUCGAGAUUCAUCAAAAAUAGACCACUCUUCAAAGGUGCAUGACCAUAAAAGAUAUUACUCAUAUAAAUAGAACAACCAUUAUUCUUUGAUUUAAAUGAAUAACCGUCUCGCAUCAAACAAGAUCCAGAUAUAAUGUUCAUGCUCAAUGCUGGCACCAAAUAACAAUUAUUUAGGUCUAAUAUUAAUCCCGAAGGUAGAUGUAGAGGUAGCGUGCCGACCGCGAUCACAUCGACUUUGGAACCGUUUCCCACGCGCAUCGUCACCUCGUCCUUUGUCAGUGUUUGCUUAAUCCGUAGUCCCUGUUUCGAGUUGCAAAUAUUAGCAACAGAACCAGUAUCAAAUACCCAGGUGCUACUGCAAGCUCUAGUAAGGUACACAUCAAUAACAUAUAUAUCACAUAUACCUUUGUUCACCUUGCCAUCCUUCUUAUCCGCCAAAUACUUGGGGUAGUUCCGCUUCCAGUGACCAGUCUGCUUGCAGUAGAAACACUCAGUUUCAGGCUUAGGUCCAGACUUGGGUUUCUUCUCCUGAGCAGCAACUUGCUUACUGUUCUUCUUGAAGUUCCCCUUCUUCUUCCCUUUACCCUUUUUCUUGAAACUAGUGGUCUUGUUAACCAUCAACACUUGAUGCUCCUUCUUGAUUUCUACCUCCGCAGCUUUCAGCAUUGCGAAGAUCUCGGGAGUAGUCUUGUUCAUCCCUUGCAUAUUAUAGUUCAUCACAAAGCUCUUGUAGCUUGGUGGCAGUGAUUGGAGAAUUCUGUCAAUGAUGCAAUCAUCUGGAAGAUUAACUCCCAUCUGAAUCAAGUGAUUAUUAUACCCAGACAUUUUGAGUAUAUGCUCACUGACAGAACUGUUCUCCUCCAUCUUGCAGCUAUAGAACUUAUUGGAGACUUCAUAUCUCUCAAUCCGGGCAUUUGCUUGAAAUAUUAACUUCAACUCCUGGAACAUCUCAUAUGCUCCAUGACGUUCAAAACGUCGUUGAAGUCCCGAUUCUAAGCCGUAAAGCAUGGCACACUGAACUAUCGAGUAGUCAUCAGCUUUGCUCUGCCAGACGUUCAUAACAUCAGGUAUUGCUCCAGCAGCAGGCCUGGCACCCAGCGGUGCUUCCAGGACGUAAUUCUUCUGAGCAGCAAUGAGGAUAAUCCUCAAGUUACGGACCCAGUCCGUGUAAUUGCUACCAUCAUCUUUCAACUUUGCUUUCUCAAGGAAUGCAUUAAAAUUCAACGGGACAACAGCACGAGCCAUCUAUCUACAAUCAACAUAAACAAGCAAGAUACUAUCAGGUACUAAGUUCAUGAUAAGUUUAAGUUCAAUUAAUCAAAUUACUUAAGAACUCCCACUUAGAUAGACAUCCCUCUAAUCCUCUAAGUGAUCACGUGAUCCAAAUCAACUAAACCAUAACCGAUCAUCACGUGAGAUGGAGUAGUUUUCAAUGGUGAACAUCGUUAUGUUGAUCAUAUCUACUAUAUGAUUCACGUUAGACCUUUCGGUCUCCGUGUUCCGAGGCCAUAUCUGCAUAUGCUAGGCUCGUCAAGUUUAACCUUAGUAUUCUGCGUGUGCAAAAACUGGCUUGCACCCGUUGUAGAUGGACGUAGAGCUUAUCAUACCCAAUCAUCACGUGGUGUCUGGGCACGACGAACUUUGGCAACGGUGCAUACUCAGGGAGAACACUUCUUGAUAAUUUAGUGAGAGAUCAUCUUAUAAUGCUACCGUCAAUCAAAGCAAGAUAAGAUGCAUAAAAAGAUAAACAUCACAUGCAAUCAAUAUAAGUGAUAUGAUAUGGCCAUCAUCAUCUUGUGCUUGUGAUCUCCAUCUCCGAAGCAUCGUCAUGAUCACCAUCGUCACCGGCGCGACACCUUGAUCUCCAUCGUAGCAUCGUUGUCGUCUCGCCAAUCUUAUGCUUCUACGACUAUCGCUACCGUUUAGUGAUAAAGUAAAGCAUUACAUCGCGAUUGCAUUGCAUACAAUAAAGCGACAACCAUAUGGCUCCUGCCAGUUGCCGAUAACUUGGUUACAAAACAUGAUCAUCUCAUACAAUAAAAUUUAGCAUCAUGUCUUGGCCAUAUCACAUCACAACAUGCCCUGCAAAAACAAGUUAGACGUCCUCUACUUUGUUGUUGCAAGUUUUACGUGGCUGCUACGGGCUUAAGCAAGAACCAAUCUCACCUACGCAUCAAAACCACAACGAUAGUUUGUCAAAUAGACUCCGUUUUAACCUUCGCAAGGACCGGGCGUAGCCACACUCGGUUCAACUAAAGUUGGAGAGACAGUCGCCCGCAAGCCACCUAUGUGCAAAGCACGUCGGGGAAACCGGUCUCGCGUAAGCGUACGCGUAAUGUUGGUCCGGGUCGUCUCGUCCAACAAUACCGUUGAACCAAAGUAUGACAUGGCAGUAUGACUUAUAUCGCCCACAACUCACUUGUGUUCUACUCGUGCAAAUAACAUCAAACCAUAAAACCUAGGCUCGGAUGCCACUAUUGGGGAACAUAGUAAUUUCAAAAAAAUUCCUAUGCACACGCAAGAUCAUGGUGAUGCAUAGCAACGAGAAGGGAGAGUGUUGUCUACGUACCCACGCAGACCGACUGCGGAAGCAUUGACACAACAUAGAGGAAGUAGUCGUACGUCUUCCCGAUCCGACCGAUCCAAGCACCGUUACUCCGGCACCUCCGAGUUCUUAGCACACGUACAGCUCGAUGACGAUUCCCGGGCUCCGAUCCAGCAAAGCGUCGGGGAAGAGUUCCGUCAGCACGACGGCGUGGUGACGAUCUUGAUGUUCUACCGACGCAGGGCUUCGCCUAAGCACUACAACGAUAUGAUCGAGGUGGAAUAUGGUGGCAGGAGGCACCGCACACAGCUAAGGAACGAUCUCAAGGAUCAACUUGUGUAUCUAGAGGUGCCCCCCUGCCCCUGUAUAUAAAGGAGCCAAGGGGGAGGGGCUGGCUGGCCAAGGAGGGUGCGCCAGGAGAGUCCUACUCCCUCUGGGAGUAGGAUUCCCCCCCCCCCCCAAUCCUAGUUGGAAUAGGAUUCCUUAAGGGGGGGGGAAGAGAGAGAGGGGGGCCGGCCACCUCUCCUAGUCCUAAUAGGACUAGGGGAGGGGGGAGGCGCGCGGCCACCUUGGGCUGCCCCUUUCUUCUUUCCACUAAAGCCCACUAAGGCCCAUAUAGCUCCCGGGGGGUUCCGGUAACCUCCCGGUACUCCGGUAAAAUCCCGAUUUCAUCCGGAACACUUCCGAUAUCCAAACAUAGGCUUCCAAUAUAUCAAUCUUUAUGUCUCGACCAUUUUGAGACUCGUCGUCAUGUCCGUGAUCACAUCCGGGACUCCGAACUAACUUCGGUACAUCAAAAUGCAUAAACUCAUAAUAACUGUCAUCGUAACGUUAAGCGUGCGGACCCUACGGUUCAAGAAUAAUGUAGACAUGACUGAGACACAUCUCCGGUCAAUAACCAAUAGUGGGACCUGGAUGCCCAUAUUGGCUCCUACAUAUUCUACGAAGAUCUUUAUCGGUCAGACCGCAUAACAACAUGCGUUGUUCCCUUUGUCAUCGGUAUGUUACUUGCCCGAGAUUCGAUCGUCGGUAUCCAAUACCUAGUUCAAUCUCGUUACCGGCAAGUCUCUUUACUCGUUCUGUAAUACAUCAUCCCGCAACUAACUCAUUAGUUGCAAUGCUUGCAAGGCUUGUGUGAUGUGCAUUACCGAGAGGGCCCAGAGAUACCUCUCCGACAAUCGGAGUGACAAAUCCUAAUCUUGAAAUACGCCAACCCAACAUCUACCUUUGGAGACACCUGUAGAGCUUCUUUAUAAUCACCCAUUUACGUUGUGACGUUUGGUAGCACAGAAAGUAUUCCUCCGGCAAACGGGAGUUGCAUAAUCUCAUAGUCAUAGGAACAUGUAUAAUUCAUGAAGAAAGCAAUAGCAACAUACUAAACGAUCGGGUGCUAAGCUAAUGGAAUGGGUCAUGUCAAUCAGAUCAUUCAACUAAUGAUGUGACCUCGUUAAUCAAAUAACAACUCUUUGUUCAUGGUUAGCAAACAUAACCAUCUUUGAUUAACGAGCUAGUCAAGUAGAGGCAUACUAGUGACACUCUGUUUGUCUAUGUAUUCACACAUGUAUUAUGUUUCCGGUUAAUACAAUUCUAGCAUGAAUAAUAAACAUUUAUCAUGAUAUAAGGAAAUAAAUAAUAACUUUAUUAUUGCCUCUAGGGCAUAUUUCCUUCACUACAAUGGGAAACCGAGCGGGAAGGGGAGAGUCAGAUAGGAAAACCGAAGUUUUUGUCGUGGGAUGGGGGUUUUGUGUUGCGCCCUUGGGUUGGAGAUAACAAAUGGCGGAUAGUCCGGACAAUGACAUUUCUCCCCCACAUAUGAUCUGGAUUUCGGAAAGUCUGGACUGUCCAGACGGUUGAAUUUUGGGGAGCCCAUUGGGCACCGGACGUAUGAGGAAGAAAUGAGUUUCGAAUUUAAAGACGACUUUAAUCAUUUAUUUAAUUCAUUUAUGUGUGUUGUAGCCCGUAGCAACGCACGGGCAUUCUACUAGUAUAAGUUAUAACUCUGCUAUACUGCCAAUUUCUUGCAUGCUCAUAUGUAUGUUGUAUGGCAUUUAAUUUCUUUUGGUGGUCCUUUCCCUCUUUGAAUUGAAUGCCAACAUAGUAGAACAUGUACUGCAUAAGGUUCAGCAGGCUGGGUCUAACAAGGUAAAUCAUUAUUUCUCAUGCGGAAGUUUGCAGGAUUAUGCACACACAUUGUUUCGUUUCGUUGACCAUAGAACAUGAUUUGCUCUUUAUUUUCUCUCCUAUGCCUAAGGCUUUGAGCUCCUUCGAAAUCAUUACUAUAAUGAAAAGGAUGAGAAGUGAGUCCUUUAGACAUGGAACACACAUAAGUUCUUUGAAGAUCAUUUUAUUUGGGAUGUCAAUAACAGUUCUACCAAUUUGCAUCAAUUGUUUAUAUGCUAUACAAACCAUCACUUGGCCCUCUAUUGUCAUUAAUCAGAUGCACGGAAUUUGUGAAUAUAUAAAUAUUCUGGCUGAAGAUAGAACCAACUUGUGAUGGUUCCAUGUGGUACAUAUAACUGAAAUUGGUCAGAUGUUUCUAUAUUUCUUUCGUUAAGACAUCUUUUUUCCUUUGUUAAGAUGUGUCUAAGAUGGGCGGGCGCCGCAACGCGCGCCUUUAUGAUCUAGUACAGCGUGAUGGCGCUGGUGCGCAACUGUUGGUGCAGCACAUUCACCAUUAAUUAUAUUGUUUUUAACACAGUAUAAACGUAAGUGCUCAUAUAUUUAUACGCGCAUAUAUUCACCCCUUGUGAAUGCACGUACGCACACUCUAUCCCUAUGAGCACCUCUGAAAGACUGAGUUAGUAUAUUAUCUAAAUUUUACAAAGUCACCAUAGGCGCCUAUCCGGGAUAAAUGCAAGCAUCAUGACUUGAAUUCUGAUGGGCUGGGGAUAUCACUGUGCUCCUAACCAUUCAACCACAUAUUGGUUCACCGGGACUAAUCAUACCGGUGUAGCCAAGUCUUAUUUAAAAACUAUGGACCAAACUUCAUCCCAUAUAGUUGAACAACACUAGGGGUAGAAACGGAUCGGAUGCGGAUCGGAUAGUGCUCUUGCCACUUCCAUUUUCAUAUUUUCAAAACGAAUACGAAUUCGAAUACGGAUGUUAUCGGAUACGGAUGCGGCUCGGAUAUUAUUCAAAUACGGAUACGUAUCGGAUAUUUUCUUGAUUCGGAACGGAUACGAAUAAUAUCAACAUAUUGCUUAAGUAAAUCAGUCGAUAGCUAUGUGAACUGAAAUAAUCAACUUGUGACAUACAAUAAGUCAAUGAUAAAUAGGUUUAUGAAUAAAUACUAUUGUAAUGCAUAAUAAUUUAUAAGUUUAAUCAUAUAAAGAGUAAAAUUUGACCACUUAUUUGGCUUUUAUGUUGGAUAAUUGGAAUAUUGAGUCUAGAAAUUUGAAAAUUACCUCCCAUAAUCUUAUUCGGAUACGGAUAUAUCCACUUUCAUAUCCAUGUUUGUCUCAAAAUCUCCUACCAUAUUUUAUUUUUUAUUUGUUUAAUAAAUUCGGAUACGGAUAAUUUCCAUUUCCAUUUUGGUUCGGAUGCGGAUGUUUCGGAUACAAAUAGGCAUUUUCUCGAAUACGAAUAUCGGAUAUUUCGGAUUAUCCGCUAUCAAUUUCCACCCCUAAACAACACGCUGUUGCGGUCUGAUGUAGUUGCUACUCAUUUGUUUCUAAAGUAACUUGUAAUCAACUACUUCUUCCGUUUUGAAAUAGAUGACUCAACUUUAUACAAAGUUAGUAUAAAGUUGAGUCAUCUAUUUUGGAACGGAGGGAGUACUUCUGAUGAGAACAAAUCAAUAAAGUACCUUGUAAUCAAACUACUGAGAUAAUUUGUACCUUCUCUCCGUACCCAUGUAUAAUCAAGUAGCCUCUUAAUGUACUUUUCCUUUUUCUUCUUUGAAGCAAGUUUAUGAAGAAAAGAAUGAUGUAUUCUGAUCUCCAUGAAGCAACCAAUUAGCUCGUCCUCUCUAUAAAAACAAUUCUUCAUGAUACCGAAGAUUCUCAAUAUCUAGCCUAACAAAAAGAAGGUUAUCAAUAUUUGAAGAUCUUUUUUAUCCCUAAUCUCCCCGUCAGAUCACUUUGUCUCCAUUUCUGAAGGUCUUUUUUUAGCUUCGAUAUCCUCUUAUUUGGGCCUUUCAGAACCUCCAGAUCCCUCUGGUGUAGAUCUUUAUGAACAGCCUUGGUACAAUCAGGCAAGGGUGGCCUAGCUUGCUGGAUCCCAAGCCAAUUGGACUACCGCAUUGACGGUUUCUUCACACAACCAACGGGCUUCAAACUAUUUUCGGGCCUUCGAUUGUUGAGACAAAACAAAUUUUAAAAAAAUAUGAAGGAAAAUAGAUCAAUGGUCUGAAUGGACACGGUGCUCAUGAACCAACGCAUAUGGCAAUUUAUCCGCACACGCCUCAUUACUUGGUGAUGCCCUGGCUCCAGGUAAACUGAUCACCAAUAACAGUGGUCUGUUGAAGUCCACACAACCUCUGAAAUUAUGCAUCAAUUGUUGAGGUCGAACAUUACCACCCUCCUUCUCACUUGCAACCAAUCUCUCAUUAAAAUCACAGUAACUAACCAUGGACCAGCCGCAUUCCGUUGCGCGAGUAUGUCCAGGACAGGUGCUUCCUAUCCCAAGUUGGUUGUCCAUAAUAUCCUGUCAAGCGCCAUGAAGCAUCAUUUUCACCCAUAACAAUUGCAUCAAUAAAUUUUUCUAAAGAAUAGUUCAACACCACUUUAUUAGAUUGGUUAUAAAAAAGGACAAGGUUCCCCGAGCGACCAUCACUCUUUUUUUUUCAAGAAACUUCCAAUCUAUUUAUCGUCAAUCAUGGUGGUACAACAAACACCAGAAAUAAUAAAAAUUACAUCGAGAUAUGUAGACCACCUAGCGACGACUACAAGCACUGAAGCGAGCCGAAUGCGCGCAGUCGUCAUUGCCCCUCCCACACACGCAUACCUUACCACUAUGAGUACCUCCGACAAACUGAGGCGGCAUAUCAUCUUGAGAUGGACGAAGUCACCAAAGGCGUCUCGUAGUCGACGGGAACGUCUCCUCCCAUUAAACGCGCAUCGCAGAAAAUCCUGAAAUAAAUUCAGCAAUAAAUGUGAGCAAAAGGAUAUGAACUCUGGUGGACUGGGGAUACCACUGUCCACCUAACCAUUCAACCACAGAUUGGUAUUGCUAUGUACAAUUUGGGGUCAUGAUGACCGGAUAGCAGAUUGUGGAGCUUGUAUUUUUUUGUUUCUAUAAUAGCCGCAUGACCUGAAAGGUUUCUUUCCAUCCGGGGCAAUUAUCGUGUCAGUUAAUGGGGGGUGGGGGUGGAUAAACUGGUCACACGAUGCAUAGUUUUAACUUUCUACACCGUGAUAAAAUAAAAGGAAAUGAUUUUCUUCACCUGGCCUAUCCAUCGCGGGGCAUCCGCCGCCUCUAGUGUGCAGACGCGUGUCCUAUGUGGACCCUAUGCGUCGCUCUAUAUUUUUUCUUAUUCCCACCCAUGGUUGACCUUUGUUGAAGAAAAAGCUACAACAAGACCUCUGUUGCAAAAGUUUAUAUAUGCAGAAGACCUCUAUUUUUGCAAAAAAAAAAAGGAUUCUACAACAUGACCUAUGUUGCAAUGAUAGGCAAUAAAGAAAAAGAACAAAAGAUUAAACAAUUUGCAACAACUCUCUUGUUGCAGAAGGCAAAGCACAAUAAGGCUCAUGUUAGAUAGAUCGGAGGAAGAGAAAAAUGGUUUGAGGCUUUUUACGGUUAGUCCGUAGUUCGAAGCCUUUUGCAACAAAUCCUCUGUUGUAGAGAGACGGGUGCAACAACAUGCUUGUUGCAACUUCAUUUGCUCAUGUGAAGAAGAUGUAGUGACUUUCUUUGUCUUAGUCCGACGGCUAUGGAGGUGGACGAUCUUUUCCAUUGCUUAAACCGGCCAACACCUAGUGCAGCCCAUAAAAUAAUUCCCGGUGCCUUUCAAGCCUAUGCAACUCGUAUGGAACACACUUUCUACUCUCUUGAUGUAUGGAUUGUCUCAUCGUUUCUAGAGGAAAAUAAUUUGAAAUUGAGAGGCACGGAAGAGAUUGAUGUUUAUCAGUUGAGAAUUGAUGACAUGAAGGUGCCCCGCUGCCCACCGCAUUGCAUGGUUUUGUGUGGGCCCAUAAUAUUUCAGCACCUAUAAAUGAGCUCAGUUUGGGCAUCAUGACAUUUAUGUGUGUCAAACCACAUAUUUGUCGCGUCAUAGGCUCUCACCGAUUCCACGCCUCCCAACUAUAAACAUUCACGAAGAAUUAAAGCAUACAACCAGCCUACUAUAUCAAGUUGUGCUGAGAGCAGAGCAUCUCCAAUAACUGCCCUAUAAUAGGGCACCAAAAUUUGCUUGAAGUAAAAUUUGGGAUACAAAAAAGUGUUUUUAGGGCACGAGAAAGUGAGUGUCUCCAAAAGUUGCCCUAAAAUGGGGUAUUGAAUAGGGCACCAUUGCUCCAACAACUGCCAUAAAAAUAGGGCAACCGCACCACAUCUUUCUUCUCCACAUAUGGAUAGAAAUUAAACUUUGCAAGAUUUCCUUGAGUGUCUUCUCCACCAACAGCUGCUCACAAAAUUCAAUUACUGAACUUGAGUGUCUUCUCCACCAACAGCUGCUCAAAAAAUUCAACUACUAAAACCAAAUCUAACAGGAAGACCGACAAAAUCAAAGUAGAUACUAAAUUUGAGUGUCUUCUUUUAAUUUCUUUGUAUUGCACAGAACUACACACCAAAAUGGCAUGGGAUACAAUUUCAGCGAAUAACAAACGAAAUUGACAAGAAGUUCCUUUGUAACUUUCUUCAGUAAAAGGAACAGUGAAAGUCUGAACUUUCUGAAAACUAACACCUGCAUCUUGGCCUCUUACACUUUCGUCAGAAAAAGGAAAGCUGGAAACUGAACUUUACUAAUGAAUUACAUCGGGACUAGCAGCGGCGCAUUCAAGCAGCACCUCCACGACCCGUACAAACUCCAACAACCCAUUCUGCAGCACCACCACACAAACCACUAACUAGCCAUCAGGCUUUCAUUUAGCUUUGUACUCUCUCUGUAAACUAAUAUAAGAUUAUUUAGGUCACUAGAGGGAAUAUAUGAUAAAUGUGUUUGCUUUCGCAAAAAAAAAAAAUAUGAUAAAUGUGUUUGGAAGAGGGCUAACUUGCUUUAUUUGGAAUCGCCAAGGUGAAUCUAACUUCCUUUUUUCUUGGCAAAACAAAAUAACUGCACUAUCGUGCUACAAUCAGCAACAGAAUUGGUCACUACCCAUGCCAUGCAAUUCAGCUCAAUUCACUCUAUUAAAAAACUUCAAGUCAUAGCACGAGAAAUUUCCACUUUAAAGGAAUCGAAACAUCCUCACCACGCAACCCAGUAGAAAUGAAACAAUCCUACAUGCUCAACCCACAACAACGGAAGCUCCGAGCCGCACUAGCCCCGGGUCACCGCAAUUGCAUUUGAGAACUUAGCCAUGGCCUCGACAACAACAUUGAAGAAGGCGUCGGAGCCAAAGCCCUUUGUCUGGAUGUGCUAGCAAAGCUCCGCCACCACCCAUGGAGCUCGCUCAGCUUGGAUGGGUGGCCGGAGCCGAAUCUCGCAGGGAUAGAGAUCAAAUCGGACCUAGGGAAGAGGGGACGAGGUGAGGGGCGCUAGAGUUGGGGGAGGCAUCAACCGCAGUGAUGCUCGCAAGAGUAGAGGCAGGAAGGGCACGUGGGAAAACACCCGACCGACGAUUUUGCGACAGCGGCCCAAGUGUAGAGUUGGAUCAGCCGACGGUGAUUUGCAGGUGUAGAGGCAGGAAGGGUGCGUGGAAAACGCCCGACCGGCGGUUUUGCGACAGUACUUUAUGCUGUAUUUUUGGGCAGCGCUGGAAAUUUUGGAGCAAAUUUUACAUUAAGGGCAGGUAUUGGAGCAGUGUUUCUGGCCCCAAAUGCCCUAAAUACGUUAUGGGGAGAUUCUCUGAGUUGAUGGGGAGUUUAGGUGUUUACACACACUCCAAAUCACAAGUCUUACAACGGUUGUUUCAGGCCCUAAAUAAACACACAAAAUCUGUCAGGCAGAUUAACGUCUUACACCCACACAAACGGAAGCAAUUUGCUUGGCUUUACAUAUAUCCAAGGUAACAUUUCUAGAUCUGUUGGAGAAGCUCGUAUACAUUGGGUGCAUGUUGCAUGGAGAAGCUCAUACAAGUUAAAUGUGCAUGCUGAAUUUGGUAUCCAAGUCGAUCAGCUCAGGUACAAUGAGGAAUAUUACUUAGUUCCACAGUAUCUCUAACAAUGGUUGGAGAAGCUACACAUUUAAAUCUCAGACAUGCAUGUAUUUCGGAACGGAGGCAGUAGUUUUUUACAGAAUGUGACAUUUGGAACUAUAGACUGUUCUUUUCAACUACUCAGAAGGCUAACUAAAAUUUCAGAAACAUUUAUGAGAAAGAAAUAGAACAGCAUCACAUCAAAAAAAAAAGAUGGACGCAGGGCAGAAUUACAUAUAUCAAGAGUACUGCAAAAUUAAUAGCUGCAUAAAAUUCAGUCACAAACACAUAUAAUCCCACAUUACAUAAAACUCAGUCUUGGAACAAAACCAGACUAGCAUUAAACAGCUAAAUUGGACAGAACACAGGUAAGACAGCUUCCACAGCCAUAGCAGCAAACACGCCAGGAAUCACUAGACCAUGCCGUCCUCCCUCGAUGCCUGGCAGCCUGGAUGUAGGAUGAUGCUUCCCCUGCUCCAAGGCGCCUACUUGGAUCGCUGCCUCAUCUUUCGGCGCUUCCUCUUGAGCCUCCUCAUCCUCUUCUUCUUCCACUGCAAAUUUAAGUAACCGCACAGUUCAUCAGCACAAAUUGCGUAGUACUACUCUAGUAGAUGCAUGGCCAAAUAACAAGAAAGUACAAUUUGUUUUGGAAUCAGAAGAUUUGAGUGUUUCAUUGGAUAUCAUCACGUGAUUUUCAGAAACACGGACCAAUUGUUCUUCAUCAUUUCCCAAAGACUGACAAUGUUGAAAAGGCAAAUAGGAAACAACCAAACUAAGAUAUCUAAAGAACUAGCUAAGCAAAGUAGAGAUCUGCAGUCGGUUUGACAUUCAGAAUGAGUAGGAGGAUUUUAUCAUCAAAUGGAUCAGACGCCAAUAGUCAUCCUCAUCAUGCCAACCGACGCAAUUGAACGAAAGAAAGAACAAAUCUAGAAAGAAACACUGGCAAAGAAAACACUAUUCUCUCAGACAAAUGCCUCGAUUGUCCACAUGGUUUUAUAGAAUGGAUUACAUCGGACUCGUCAUAUGUUUUCAUCAUCACAGAGAACUAUAAACAAACAUGCGCAAAAAAUAUCAACUCAGUCAACAGAAACUACAUCCUAGAAUCUCUGAGAACAGGCAAAUCGAACUAUAAUAGCAGGUUCUCUCAGACAAAUUUGCCUCAUUUUUGUCCCCACGGUUGAAUGGAAUGGAUUGGAUCGGACAUCUAAUCAGUGUUGAUCAUCACAGAGAACCACUAAUUACGACAUCGAGCAACAGCAACAGCAGGAACGAAAGCUCGAUAAACACUAGCACAUGCCCAGAUCUACCGCGGUCGCGAAGCAGCUAAUAGGAGAGAAGGUAGACGAAGGGCAGUACGAACCUUGGCCCUCAUCGCGGCGGCGGAGUCGGCCUCGCUCUCCUUUUCGCGGCGGCGGCGGCGGAAGGGUGUGGACGAUCCCGAUCUCCGUAGAUUGUUGGCGGCGGGGGCUCUGGACUCGUACUUUAUAGGGGUGGGGUGCUGGGAAGGGGGGAAACCCUAGCGGGUGGACGGCUCGGAUCAGCCGCUGAGCGGCGUUCUGAUCCGAUUUGGUCGGUCUCUGGUUCGCAGCCCUAAUGGGCCUUCAAACCAACGUCUCGGCCCACGGUCACAUCUAAGAUGAUGGGCUUCCCUUCACCUGUUCUUAAACUGGGCCUCCUCCUCGCUUGCUUGACUCGGCCUGAUCGGUU